UUUCAUCUCCUCAACUUCACUCUUCUUCCUCACCAAAGAGUGUAGGUAACUGUGGGCUUCUUAAAAUCUCAGACACCCGUGGAUGAAAAGAAAGGCUAGAUUGUUGCCCCAAAUGGAAUCAUCCCCUCCCUGUGCAACCACGCCUCUGGUCUGAAAACACAAAAUAAAAUAAAUAAAUAAAAACCAAACAAACAAUCAUGGAGCCUCAGGUCACUUCAGUAUGAUUUCUCUGAACAUCCCAGGCUGGAAAACUUCAGUUCUUUAAAAGAACAUUUUUUUUUUUUUUCUCCAGAGUCUGCUGCCAACAAAAAGAGAGACGGCAUCGCUUUUACAAGCCUCACACUUAUUUUCCUGAGUCCCCGCAGAAAGAAGCCGGCUCCACAGGUUUUGGCAUACCAGCCCAAUUACACCGAACACGGAAUCCAGACAGACACCCAGUGGCCCGCAAAACCCGGGUCAGGUAGCCAGAAACAUGCCAAAAUACGCAGCCAGCCACCUACAGGCCAGCGAACUGCACCCCCGCCCCCACCCCCGACACACACAAAUGGGACCCAGAGGCAAACAGCACAGAGGAGUCGGGACACACGCGCACACACCACGGGGGUGAGCGCACGCAGAGAAACAGGCGGACUCAUCUAGGGUCACAGACAACCCGGGCGCCGCCGCCCGCCGGGGAGGCACGAGUGCGCGCGCGUGCACUCACACGCACACGGUGAUACACACACACAGCCGC